rnacentral:rRNA from 1 species
UAACACAUGCAAGUCGAACGGUAACAGGCCAUCGUGAUCUCUUCGGAGUGAACUAGGCGCUGACGAGUGGCGGACGGGUGAGUAAUACUUAGGAAUCUGCCCUGUAGUGGGGGACAACUCGAGGAAACUCGAGCUAAUACCGCAUACGCCCUAAGGGGGAAAGCGGGGUCAUUAGACCUCGCGCUAUUGGAUGAGCCUAAGUCGGAUUAGUUUGUUGGUAGGGUAAUAGCCUACCAAGGCUACGAUCCGUAGCUGGUCUGAGAGGACGAUCAGCCACACUGGGACUGAGACACGGCCCAGACUCCUACGGGAGGCAGCAGUGGGGAAUAUUGCACAAUGGGCGCAAGCCUGAUGCAGCAAUGCCGCGUGUGUGAAGAAGGCUCUAGGGUUGUAAAGCACUUUCAAUAGAGAAGAAAAGCUUGGAGUUAAUACCUUCAAGCCUUGACGUAACCUAUACAAGAAGCACCGGCUAAUUCCGUGCCAGCAGCCGCGGUAAUACGGAAGGUGCGAGCGUUAAUCGGAAUUACUGGGCGUAAAGCGAGCGUAGGCUGUUAAUUAAGUCGAAUGUGAAAUCCCCGGGCUCAACCUGGGAACUGCAUUCGAAACUAUUUGACUAGAGUAUGGGAGAGGAAAGUAGAAUUUCCGGUGUAGCGGUGAAAUGCGUAGAUAUCGGAAGGAACACCAGUGG